rnacentral:rRNA from 1 species
AAUUCCACGUGUAGCAGUGAAAUGCGUAGAUAUGUGGAGGAACACCGAUGGCGAAGGCAGCCCCCUGGGCCAACACUGACGCUCAUGCACGAAAGCGUGGGGAGCAAACAGGAUUAGAUACCCUGGUAGUCCACGCCCUAAACGAUGUCAACUAGGUGUUGGGGGAUUAGACUCCUUUAGUACCGCAGCUAACGC